GUUCGUAAGCGGUGCGGCAAGUUGGGAGUGAAAUCUCUGGGCUUAACCCAGAGACGGCUUCCAAAACUGCUGUGCUUGAGUGUGGGAGAGGCUCGUGGAAUUGCAGGUGUAGCGGUGAAAUGCGUAGAUAUCUGCAGGAACACCCGUGGCGAAAGCGGCGAGCUGGACCACUACUGACGCUGAAGAACGAAAGCUAGGGGAGCAAACAGGAUUAGAUACCCUGGUAGUCCUAGCCCUAAACGAUCAGGACUUGGGGUGCCACCCGUUCGGGUGGCGUCGCGGAGCUAACGCGUUAAGUCCUGCACCUGGGGAGUACGGUCCCAAGACUGAAACUCAAAGGAAUUGACGGGGGCCCCCACAAACGGUGGAACCUGGGGUUUAAUUCCACUCUACCCGAGGAACCUUACCUGGGCUCGAAUGCAAUUUGACCGUGGGUGAAAGCUCGUUUUGUAUCCAUACACAGAUUGUAAGGUGCUGCAUGGCUGUCGUCAGCUCGUGCCGUGAGGUGUUGGGUUAAGUCCCGCAACGAGCGCAACCCCCGUCACUAGUU
rnacentral:rRNA from 1 species